AUACGGAGGGUGCAAGCGUUAAUCGGAAUUACUGGGCGUAAAGCGUACGUAGGCGGUUCGUUAAGUUAGAUGGGAAAGCCCCGGGCUUAGCCUGGGAACUGCAUUUAAAACUGGCGAACUAGAGUUGAGUAGAGGGGAGUGGAAUUUCAGGUGUAGCGGUGAAAUGCGUAGAGAUCUGAAGGAACACCAGUGGCGAAGGCGACUCCCUGGACUCGAACUGACGCUGAGGUACGAAAGCGUGGGUAGCAAACGGGAUUAGAAACCCAAGUAGUCC
rnacentral:rRNA from 1 species